ensembl:processed_transcript
GAGGGAGGGGCAGCCUUGCUCUCGCUCCACUGAAACUAUAAAGGGACCUGCGGGGGAAAGCUGGACCAUNNNNCAUCAUUCUUAACAUCCUCGAAGCAGUUGCAAAAAGAUAAAAAGAUGAAGGGGAGCCCAAAGCUUCCGACAGAAUUCAUAACAGAAAAUAACUUGAUUAAAGCCUGACUCUUUUAAAAGUGAAACCUGACCAGUGAGAUGCCAGCCUGCCUGUGAAGAUCCUGCAGCAGNNNNNNNNGACCUGUGACACUAGACUUCUUGCAAAUGAACACUAGAUAUGGUAACAUCCAGAAAAGGCAGAGACAAGAAAAUUCACAGUCUGAGUACUGGGGUGUUUGAGAUGGGGUCAAUCUACAUGUCUCUAGCUGUCCCUAUGUAGUGAUCGGGACAGAAUCUGGUAUGGCCUGCAGAGUUGAUUCCUGUAUUUUUUUUGUGGGCUGUAUGUAAAUGGAUUGUUUUUGACAAUCCAUUCGACCAUGUUCUCUGCUGUGACAGUCAUGGGUGAGCUGGUGACAGACACACCUGUACAGACUGAGCAGAGUGAAUGCAAUCCUGACUAUAAAGCAGCAGAUCACUAUUUUUGUGAUUGU